GACGAACGCUGGCGGCGUGCUUAACACAUGCAAGUCGAACGGAAAGGCCCUGCUUGCAGGGUACUCGAGUGGCGAACGGGUGAGUAACACGCGGGUGAUCUGCCCUGCACUUCGGGAUAAGCUUGGGAAACUGGGUCUAAUACCGGAUAGGAACCAUCUUUCGUGUGGUGGUGGGAAAGUUUUUUCGGUGUAGGAUGAGCUCGCCGCCUAUCAGGUUGGUGGUGGGGUAAUUGCCUACCAAGGCGGCGACGGGUAGCCGGCCUGAGAGGGUGUACGGCCACAUUGGGACUGAGAUACGGCCCAGACUCCUAAGGGAGGGAGCCGUGGGGAAUAUUGCACAAUGGGCGCAAGCCUGAUGCAGCGACGCCGGGUGGGGGAUGAAGGCCUUCGGGUUGUAAACUCCUUUCGCUAGGGACGAAGCUUUUUGUGACGGUACCUAGUUAAGAAGCACCGGCUAACUACGUG
rnacentral:rRNA from 1 species